rnacentral:rRNA from 1 species
UACGAAGGGGGCAAGCGUUGUUCGGAAUUACUGGGCGUAAAGGGCGCGCAGGCGGCCGAUCAAGUCAGAUGUGAAAGCCCCGGGCUCAACCUGGGAAUAGCAUUUGGGACUGGUCGGCUAGAGUUCGGGAGAGGAGAGUGGAAUUCCCAGUGUAGAGGUGAAAUUCGUAGAUAUUGGGAAGAACACCGGUGGCGAAGGCGGCUCUCUGGACCGACACUGACGCUGAGGCGGCGAAAAGCGUG